GGCUAUGGCGGGCGGUGCGCGGAGGCCUUGUGCCUGCCGGUUUUAGCGUAGACCGGGUUUCGAACCUCGCACCGUCCGCCACCUUU
rnacentral:antisense_RNA from 2 species